UGAGGAAUAUUGGUCAAUGGACGAGAGUCUGAACCAGCCAAGUAGCGUGCAGGAUGACGGCCCUAUGGGUUGUAAACUGCUUUUGUUUGGGAAUAAUCGACAUUACGUGUAAUGUUUUGCAUGUACCAUUCGAAUAAGGACCGGCUAAUUCCGUGCCAGCAGCCGCGGUAAUACGGAAGGUCCGGGCGUUAUACGGAUUUAUUGGGUUUAAAGGGAGCGUAGGCUGUCUAUUAAGCGUGUUGUGAAAUAUACCGGCUCAACCGGUGGCUUGCAGCGCGAACUGGUCGACUUGAGUAUGCAGGAAGUAGGCGGAAUUCAUGGUGUAGCGGUGAAAUGCUUAGAUAUCAUGACGAACUCCGAUUGCGCAGGCAGCUUACUGUAGCAUAACUGACGCUGAUGCUCGAAAGUGCGGGUAUCAAACAGG
rnacentral:rRNA from 1 species